AAUAUAUUCAAAAUUGUUCAACUACAUUAAAUUAAUGCCAAAAGUAGGAGACCCCGCGAAUAGUUGUGAGGACUAUGCUGAUAAAACUAGGAAUUUUACUUAGGAGCAAAGAUCAUCAAUCCUAAAAUAUUUAUGUGACAAUGUUCAUCCAAUCACCUUGCAACACCUUGAUGUACAUGUACCAAGUCUAAUUCAUGUCACUAUUACAUGCACUUUGAUACACAGACCAUCCAACUUUGAUUCAGGCUUUUUACAUCAUAUGGCUGAUCUAGAUGCUGUUUUAAGAGCACAGUCUGUACUGUUUGUGAUUGAAGAAGAAGUGGAAACAAAGCCAGAAAAUCUGUUGAGUCAUACAGAUAUUCUGUUUAAUAUGUCCCGAAACACAAACUUCAGCGAAGACCUACUUUAGAAAAGAUGCAUGGCAGCUUGUUUUAAAUACUCUCAAAGUAUUAGAAGAUAUGUAUAUUAGUAACACUCAGAAGUAUUAUGAUAAGAUUUCUCCAUGCCAGACAAGAAAAGGCAAAGCUUUAAUAGGUCCAGUUGAAGGAAGAAUAUUCAAAAAGUUUUCAAAAAGGACAUCAGACCAGAUUAAAUCAAGAAAAAGAAGUGUGGACAAUUCUUCAUUAAAAGCUAGGAAAUCCUUUACAAAUGAAGAUAUAGUUUUCCAUUAAAAGCUAGGAAAUCCCUUACAAGUGAAGAUAGUUCUCCAUUAAAAGCUAGGAAAUCCCUUACAAGUGAAGAUAGUUCUCCAUUAAAAGCUAGGAAAUCCCUUACAAGUGAAGAUAGUUCUCCAUUAAAAGCAAUAAAAGGAAUGCCCACCUUCUUAGUUAUAAAAGCAAAAGAAAUGAAAGCUGAAAUUAUAGAGUAUCUGCAGAAUUAUAAGCCAUUUAAAUCAUUGCCAAAAGUUGGAGAUCCUGUUUAACCAUUAUGUUGACAACACUAGAGGCAUAUCUGAGGAAGUGAGAGAUGAAUUAACUUCAUAUCUCAGCUUGACAUAUAAAGACAUUUUCAAUCUAUCUGUCAGUUCUGACAUUCCAUCUAUGAUGCACAACACUAUAUCAUUCAUAAUACAUCAUUCAGGAAACAAAGGUACAACUUUUAUGAGAGAAAACAAUAUUUUUUUUUACUUUCUGUUACAUUAGAAAUAACAGUACUGUAGUUGAAGAGUUGCCACCGUCAAUUGUUACACAGUAGACAGUAUCAGAGACAGUAAAACAGUGAUUUGCAACCAUCAAAUUAAAAUUGACAGUGACAACUGUUCAAGUACAGUACUGUUAUUCCGAUUCUAAUGCAUUACAAAAAGAAAAAGUACGAUAAAACUUUAAAAAACGACUAAACUUGACAAUUAGAAACAAAAAAACGCGAAAUUUAAUGAAUUAUUUUGGCACAAAAAUGUCAUGGCUAAACGUGACGUCAUACAAAUGAAAACUUACAAACUGGAGGUUAUUACCUUACCCGUACGCUUCAAAUUACGAUAAAAUUACAUUAAAACGCCAAAUUCAAGGUAGGUGUUGUUUUAUUUUCAAUUAUAUAGUAGUAAUCGAACAUUUGUUGAUUCAAUCAAUU